GACGAACGCUGGCGGCGUGCUUAACACAUGCAAGUCGAACGGAGCGCCCCUGAAAGAGUUUUCGGACAAUGGAAGGGAACGCUUAGUGGCGGACUGGUGAGUAACGCGUGAGGAACCUGCCUUUCGGAGGGGGACAACAGUUGGAAACGACUGCUAAUACCGCAUGACACAUGACUGUGGCAUCGCAGACAUGUCAAAGAUUUUAUCGCCGAAAGAUGGCCUCGCGUCUGAUUAGCUAGUUGGUGAGGUAAUGGCUCACCAAGGCAACGAUCAGUAGCCGGACUGAGAGGUUGGCCGGCCACAUUGGGACUGAGAUACGGCCCAG
rnacentral:rRNA from 1 species